CAAAAACAUAGCCUUAGGAAUAUAUCUAAGGUGAAACCUGCCCAGUGUAUAGUAGAAUAAAUGGCCGCGGUACUUUGACCGUGCUAAGGUAGCGCAAUCAAUUGGCUCUUAAUUAGGGUCAGGAAUGAAUGGGAUCACGUAGUUCAGCUGUCUCCUCUUUAAUUAUUUGAAGUUACUAUGUAGAUGAAAAAGUCUACUUUUAGAAAAAGGACGAGAAGACCCUUAGAGUUUUACUUAAUAUAAUGAUGAAUGUGUUAAUUAUGAUGGUUUUGUUGGGGCAACAUAGGAGCAAAAUUUAAUCUCUUAAAUUAUAUAAACCGAUUAUUUUAAAUUUAGAUAAACUACCUUAGGGAUAACAGCAUUAUGUAAUAAAUAAGUUUGUGACCUCGAUGUUGGACUGGGAAACUUAAGAGCUAGCCGUUCUUGAGGAAAGUUCUGUUCGAACUAUUAUUCCCACGUGAUC
rnacentral:rRNA from 1 species